UACGUACGAGGCGAGCGUUGUCCGGAAUUAUUGGGCGUAAAGAGCUCGUAGGCGGUCCGUCACGUCGGAUGUGAAAGCCCGGGGCUUAACUCCGGGUCUGCAUUCGAUACGGGCAGGCUAGAGUGUGGUAGGGGAGAUCGGAAUUCCUGGUGUAGCGGUGAAAUGCGCAGAUAUCAGGAGGAACACCAAUGGCGAAGGCAGCUCGCUGGGACGGUACUGACGCUGAGACGCGAAAGCGUGGGGGAGCAAACAGG
rnacentral:rRNA from 1 species